AAACUUUCAACAACGGAUCUCUUGGUUCUGGCAUCGAUGAAGAACGCAGCGAAAUGCGAUAAGUAAUGUGAAUUGCAGAAUUCAGUGAAUCAUCGAAUCUUUGAACGCACAUUGCGCCCGCCGGUAAUCUGGCGGGCAUGCCUGUUCGAGCGUCAUUU
rnacentral:rRNA from 1 species